rnacentral:rRNA from 1 species
UUCGUUCCCCUGUGAACUGGAGACCUUGAGUUACAGGAGAGGGAAAGCCGAUUUACUUACGGUAUGCGGUUCCAUGCAUUGAUAUUUAGCAGUAACAACCAGUGGGCGAGCCGGCUUUUCUUGGACUUGUUACCUGACACUGAGGUACGAAUGUCGUGGGGGAGCCAAACCAUGAUUUAGAUAUCCUCGCUAGUUUACGCUGUAACGAUGAGCACUAGUUGUCGGCGUUCGCCACGAUCUUCGUUGCCGCAGUUGUCGCAUUAAGUGCUUCUCCCUGGGGAGUACGCACGCAAGUGUGAAACUCAAACGAAUUGACGGGGGCCCGCACAAGCAGCAGAGCAUGUGGUUUUAUUAGAAGCAACGCGAAGAACCUUACCUAGACUUGACAUCUCCUGAAUUACCCUUAACCGGGGAAGCCCUUCGGGGCAGGAAGACAGGUGGUGCAUGGUUGUCGUCAGCUCGUGUCGUGAGAUGUUGGGUUAAGUCCCGCAACGAGCGCAACCCUUAUUUUUAGUUGCUACCAUUCGGUUGAGCACUCUAAAGAGACUGCCCGGGUUAACCGGGAGGAAGGUGGGGAUGACGUCAAAUCAUCAUGCCCCUUAUGUCUAGGGCUACACACGUGCUACAAUGGCGAGAACAAAGAGACGCAAGACCGCGAGGUGGAGCAAAUCUCACAAAACUCAUCCCAGGUCGGGAUGCCAGGUGAAAACUCGC